AUGGGAGCUGCUCCCUGAUGUUAGCGGCGGACGGGUGAGUAACACGUGGGUAACCUGCCUGUAAGACUGGGAUAACUCCGGGAAACCGGGGCUAAUACCGGAUGGUUGUUUGAACCGCAUGGUUCAAACAUAAAAGGUGGCUUCGGCUACCACUUACAGAUGGACCCGCGGCGCAUUAGCUAGUUGGUGAGGUAACGGCUCACCAAGGCAACGAUGCGUAGCCGACCUGAGAGGGUGAUCGGCCACACUGGGACUGAGACACGGCCCAGACUCCUACGGGAGGCAGCAGUAGGGAAUCUUCCGCAAUGGACGAAAGUCUGACGGAGCAACGCCGCGUGAGUGAUGAAGGUUUUCGGAUCGUAAAGCUCUGUUGUUAGGGAAGAACAAGUACCGUUCGAAUAGGGCGGUACCUUGACGGUACCUAACCAGAAAGCCACGGCUAACUACGUGCCAGCAGCCGCGGUAAUACGUA
rnacentral:rRNA from 1 species